GGGGAAUUUUGCGCAAUGGGCGAAAGCCUGACGCAGCAACGCCGCGUGGGUGAUGAAGGUCUUCGGAUCGUAAAACCCUGUCGUCAGGGACGAAGGUCGGGGGGUGAACAGCCCUUUGGCUUGACGGUACCUGGAGAGGAAGCCCCGGCUAACUCUGUGCCAGCAGCCGCGGUAAUACAGAGGGGGCAAGCGUUAUUCGGAAUUAUUGGGCGUAAAGGGCGCGUAGGCGGUGUCUUAAGUGGGAUGUGCAAUCCCCGGGCUUAACCUGGGAACUGCAUCCCAGACUGGGACGCUGGAGUACUGGAGAGGGCGGUGGAAUUCCACGUGGAGCGGUGAAAUGCGUAGAUAUCUGGAAGAACACCAGUUGCGAAGGCGGUCUCUUGGUCCGAUACUGACGCUGAGGCGCGAAAGCGUGGGGAGCAAACA
rnacentral:rRNA from 1 species